AGUAUAUGAGCGCUCAGUCGCUCAAUCGCUCAGUCUGAGUUUCCAACAUGUACUGUUCAGUGUUAUUGUUGUUGUUCUUUGCUAUACUGCCUGGAGUCAUCGGAUCACCGCCGACUCCUCCUCCUCCUAUCGGUCAGCGGCAGCGAGAAGCACAACAGGUUGGUUUUUUAUCGUUUGUAUUGUUAUCCGAUUACUAAACUGAAGAUUUUUACUAUAAUAUUAUCUUUGUGGUUUUUACCAUCAGAUACCCGAUUCACCUGAUUCUCCUGACGCCCAGCAUGCUGAGGACUUUUUAGAGGCUUUAAUAGCAGAAGAACAGAUACCCGAUUCACCCGAUUCUCCAGGAGCCCAGCACGAUGAGGACUUUUUUGAGGCUUUAUUAGAAGAAGAAGAAGAACAGCAGUCAUCUGACCCUUGGGAAUUCCCAUCACGCGGUAGCUGCAGACGCAGAACUCCUCCUCCUUCGAGUUCUUCAGAUUCGGUUAGUGGAAUUUUUGUGUGUGUGUGUGUGUGUGUGUGUGUGUG
rnacentral:lncRNA from 1 species